UAGAAAUUUAGGUUACAUUAGACCAAGAGCCUUCAAAGCUCUAAGCAAGUAUAAUUUACUUAAUUUCUG
rnacentral:tRNA from 1 species